CUUUUUAAAGAAUUAAUUCGCACACUGGCAACAUUGCUAAUUGGCGGCUGUCACUUGCCAGAUGUCUUACUCGUGUUGUCAUCAGCAUUGCCAUUGUUUGUUGCUGCUUCAGCACAACCGAGUAGGUUUUAAUUUAAAGUAAAGCAGCCAAAAAACGUGCAAAAACCAUGUCCUAUCAGUUGUACCGUAACACAACGCUGGGGCAUACGCUUCAAGAAAGUCUCGACGAACUUCUGCAGUAUGGGCAAAUUACGCCCCAAUUGGCCUGCAAAGUCCUUCUGCAGUUCGACAAGUCGAUAAACCAAAUGCUGGCCACCCGAGUCAAAUCCCGACUAACUUUCAAGGCAGGAAAGCUGAAUACGUACAGGUUUUGUGACAACGUGUGGACCUUCAUGCUGAACGAUGUGGAGUUCCGCGAAGUGCACGAAAUCACCAAGAUUGAUAAAGUGAAAAUUGUCGCCUGUGAUGGAAAAAGUAUUGAUCCUUGAUAGGUUUAUUGGGGCCGUGUAUUACUUUCUGCUUAGUUGGGCUACCACUUCAUGUGCAAAUCUUCACACUAGUUGCUUUGCUUUUAUAUGUUGCUGAAGAGGGAUGCUCGAAGAAGUAGACCGGAAUACUGAGGCCCCAACCACAAGUUCCACCAUGUACAUACUUAGAAUAAGCUUCCUUUAUCGUCCUCAUACGUUAUAUUCUGUUACAGAAAUUUGUAUACCUGUAGUAAGUGUGAAGUUGCAUUGUCCUUGAAACUGUCUGCCUAGUUAUUAAAUGAGUACAUUUACACUAA
rnacentral:misc_RNA from 1 species